AGCACAGUACAGUAAUUUCCCCCUCUUUACACUGUUAAUACAUUUUUUUUUGUUGUUAAUACAUUUCUUAGAAGUGCUGUUGACUCUCAGAAGACAUGAGUGGUGCAUACAGAGGCAGAGGUUUUGGACGAGGACGAUUCCAAAACUGGAAAAGAGGAAGAGGUGGUGGGAACUUCUCAGGAAGGUGGAGAGACAGAACUGACCUGAGUAAAGCUGCAGGAAAUCAUGCUUCUGGUAAAUGCAGUCAGGGAUCAAUUUGUUUUCUCUCAGGAAAGAAACUACUCAAGGGCCGUAGAUGGCUGAGUAGGUAAGGGGAGGACCCUCUGUUAGGUCCCUAGAACCCAUAUGAUGGAAGGGGAGAACUGAAUCCACAAGCUGCCCUCUGUCUUCCACAUAGGCACUAUGGCAUGUUUGGUCCCACAAGUGGGCACAGGCAACACAAUGU
rnacentral:lncRNA from 1 species